UUACACGUGCUAAUUCUUAGCCUCGCCUCUGGGCCAUUAUUACCCUGAUUUUACAUACGGGCGCGGUCACUGGAGCUCAGAGAGGUUGACGGGCUUGUCUGAGGUCACAAAGCUGGCAGCUGACAGAAACAGAAAUCGAGUCCUUACUAGACAGUCUCGUGGCACCUGGGCUGCUCCACGGCCCUGCCUGGGCCUCUGCUGUCCACCGUCUCACCCGCCCUCCUGGCCCCUGCCCUUCACCACGUCCUCACCCUGACCUGGCUUCACUGUCCAGGAGCAGGAGAGGGAGACACCUCCACCGCACGGAAGAGGAAGGAAGGGGGUGUGAGGUGUGGUUGUCACACAGCAUCACAAACCACCAAGGUCCUCCGUGACACACGACGACGAGCUAGGCAUCCCUGCUCCACUGGUUCUAGGCUUGCCCACGUGACUCACUUAGGCCAGCGGGCAUCUGGCGAGAGUCCCACGUGAUGGUUCUGGGGAGAACGCGUCUGUUCCCAUCGAUGUCUUGCACUUUUGCCAUCACCACGAGGAAAAGCUUCCUCGGAGCAGCUGCCGCCCCUUGAGCUGGGCCCAGAACGCACACACCUGGAGUGGAGUCAUCCCUGAGCUCCGCAGGGAGAAGCUGAGGCUUCCAGCCACGCCCAGCCUAGAACAGUGACUCCAGGCCAAGCGCCGACGCUGCGCGAGGCCAACUGAGGUGAGCAGAGCUGCCCAGCUGCCCCUGUAGACGCUUAUGAGGUGGCACGAGGUUCUGGUUAUUGGCUACGUGUGCGGUGGGGAAGAUCCUCUGUGCUCGUUCGGGGUACCCAUUCAGUUGUCUACAGGAGAUGUGGAUGAAAGACUGAGGACAAUGGCAGGAGUUCUCCAGCUUGGGGAAGGAGGAGGGACCACAAGGCCAGUCUAGACCCUGCCUGCUGGUGGAUGCCUCGCUUGUGCCCCUCCAUGCUGUGCUAGUAUUUUGGCAGACCUUCAUUACAGGUCAAUAAAAGUUACAUAAAUGAAAUGGG